rnacentral:rRNA from 1 species
UGAUGACGAGACGCUAAGGCGUUGAAGCAGUGUAUGUCAGACCUCCAAGAAAAGCUCGCAAUGUCACAAAUAAACCUGCCUGUACCAUAACCGACACAGGUGGGUAGGUAGAGUAUACUAAGGGGCGCGAGAUAACUCUCUCUAAGGAACUCGGCAAAAUGACUCCGUAACUUCGGGAGAAGGAGUGCCUUAUUUAUAAGGUUGCAAUAACAAGAUCCAAGCAACUGUUUAUCAAAAACACAGAUCUCCGCUAAGUCGUAAGACGAUGUAUGGGGGCUGACGCCUGCCCAGUGCCAGAAGGUUAAAGAAGUUGGUUAGUGUAUGCGAAGCUGAUGACUGAAGCCCUGGUGAACAGCGGCCGUAACGAUAACGGUCCUAAGGUAGCGAAAUUCCUUGUCGGGUAAGUUCCGACCCGCACGAAAGGCGUAAUGAUUUGGAUACUGUCUCGGAGAGAGGCCCGGUGAAAUAGACUUGUCUGUGAAGAUGCGGACUACCUGCACCAGGACAGAAAGACCCUAUGAAGCUUUACUGUAACUUGAAAUUGGAAUUGGACUUUGCUUGCGCAGUAUAGGUGGGAAGCGUUGAAAAUAUUCUUGCGGGAGUAUUGGAGCUAUCAGUGAGAUACCACUCUUGUAAUGUUAGAUUUCUAACUUUGAACCAUAAUCUGGUCAAAGAACAGUUUCAGGUGGGCAGUUUGACUGGGGCGGUCGCCUCCCAAAUGGUAACGGAGGCGUACAAAGGUUUCCUCUGAACGGAUAGAAAUCGUAUCUAGAGUGUAAAGGCAUAAGGAAGCUUGACUGUGAGACCUACAAGUCGAGCAGGGACGAAAGUCGGUCUUAGUGAUCUGACGGUACUGAGUGGAAAGGCCGUCACUCAACGGAUAAAAGUUACUCUAAGGAUAACAGGCUGAUCUCCCCCAAGAGUUCACAUCGACGGGGAGGUUUGGCACCUCGAUGUCGGCUCAUCGCAUCCUGGGGCGGUAGUACGUCCCAAGGGUUGGGCUGUUCGCCCAUGAAAGCGGUACGCGAGCUGGGUUCAGAACGUCGUGAGACAGUUCGGUCCAUAUCCGGUGUAGGCGCUAGAAUAUUGAGAGGAGCCUUCUUUAGUACGAGAGGACCGAGAAGGACACACCGCUGGUGUACCAGUUAUCGUGCCAACGGUAAACGCUGGGUAGCUAUGUGUGGAGUGGAUAACCGCUGAAAGCAUCUAAGUGGGAAGCCCACCUCGAGAUGAGUAUUCCC